rnacentral:rRNA from 1 species
GACGAACGCUGGCGGCGUGCUUAACACAUGCAAGUCGAACGGAAAGGCUCCAGUUUGCUGGAGUACUCGAGUGGCGAACGGGUGAGUAACACGUGGGUAAUCUGCCCUGUACUCUGGGAUAAGCGUGAGAAACUGGGUCUACUACUGGAUAUGACCGUUCUCCUUAUGGGGUUUGGUGGAAAGUUUUUCGGGGUAGGAUGAUCCCUCGGCCUAUCAGCUUGUUGGUGGGGUGAUGGCAUACGAAGGCGACGACGGGUAGCCGGCCUGAGAGGGUGAUCGGCCACAUUGGGACUGAGCUACGGCCCAGCAUCCUACGGGAGGCAGCCGUGGGGAAUAUUGCACAAUGGGAGGAAGCCUGAUGCAGCGACGCCGCGUGAGGGAUGACGGCCUUCGGGUUGUAAACCUCUUUCAGCAGGGACGAAGCGUAAGUGACGGUACCUGCAGAAGAAGCACCGGCUAACUACGUG